UACGGGGGGGGCAAGCGUUGUUCGGAAUUACUGGGCGUAAAGGGCUCGUAGGCGGCCAACUAAGUCAGACGUGAAAUCCCCCGGCUUAACCAGGGAACUGCGUCUGAUACUGGAUGGCUUGAGUUUGGGAGAGGGAUGCGGAAUUCCAGGUGUAGCGGUGAAAUGCGCAGAUAUCAGGAGGAACACCGGUGGCGAAGGCGGUUCUCUGGGCCUUACCUGACGCUGAGGAGCGAAAGCAUGGGGAGCAAACAGG
rnacentral:rRNA from 1 species